rnacentral:rRNA from 1 species
CCUACGGGUGGCAGCAGUGAGGAAUAUUGGUCAAUGGGCGGAAGCCUGAACCAGCCAAGUCGCGUGAGGGAAUAAGGCCCUACGGGUCGUAAACCUCUUUUGCCGGGGAGCAAGGUCGGGGACGUGUCCCGUCCCGUAUAGUACCCGUAGACAAAGCAUCGGCUAACUCCUUGCCAGCAGCCGCGGUAAUCCGGAGGAUGCGAGGUUUAUCAGGGUUUAUUGGGUUAAAAGGGUGCGUAGGCGGGCUUUUAAGUCAGCGGUAAAAAUUCGGGGCCCAACCCCGUCGGGCCGUUGAAACUGGGGGCCGUGAGUGGGCGAGAAGAAGGCGGAAUGCGUGGUGUAGCGGUGAAAUGCAUAGAUAUCACGCAGAACCCCGAUUGCGAAGGCAGCCUUCCGGAGCCCGACUGACGCUGAGGCACGAAAGUGCGGGGAUCGAACAGGAUUAGAUACCCCAGUAGUC